GACGAACGCUGGCGGCGUGCCUAAUACAUGCAAGUAGGACGCAGUUGCGAACGGGUUAGUAACGCGUAGGUAACUACCUAUUAGAGGGGGAUAACUAUUGGAAACGAUAGCUAAUACCGCAUACUAGUAGAUUGACCUGCUUUGUAUUAGCUAGUAGGUAGGGUAAUGGCCUACCUAGGCAACGAUACAUAGCCGGCCUGGAAGGGUGAUCGGCCAAACUGGGACUGAGACACGGCCCAGACUCCUACGGGAUGCAGCAGUAGGGAAUCUUCCGAAAUGGGCGCAAGCCUGACGGAGCAAAGCCGCGUGAGUGAAGAAGGUUUUCGGAUCGUAAAGCUCUGUUGUUAAGGAAGCGGUACUUAACCAGAAAGGGACGGCUAACUACGUGCCAGCAGCCGCGGUAAUUC
rnacentral:rRNA from 1 species